ensembl:lncRNA
AUUUUGCUGGAGUUCCCUGCAUACCUGAGGCCUUCCAAGGAUUGAUUUUCUUCUAAGGGAUCAAAAAUAUCCAGUGUCCAACAUUUCCACACCAGUAGCUAAUACAAAACAAAGAAACAACAAAAUAAAGCUGCAAAAUUCACGCCCCCUUGGUAUCAAGGAUCUUUGAAUCAUAUGAAGAGACACCGAAGAAACAGAAAUUAGGAGUUCUCUUGGAAAAGAAUAAAAACACAGAGAUUUAAUCUCCUGCCAUCCCACAAGAUCAACACACAUACUAUCCUCUGCAGUUUUACAGUCGUUCCUUCCUAAGAGCUGCACUGCUAGGUGCAGUGGAACGAAGCAGUGCUGGAUGCAGUGCUAGGACUGUGUUUGCAUUUGUCAUGAGUAAAUGAAACUUGGUCAGAAUAGAAUGCUGCUUCCUGUAGCUGGGAUUAGGGGUUGUAUGGUUUUCCAAGCAGUAAUGUCCCCUGUGAAGCUUAUGUUAAUUUCUAUGUGGCCUAUACAGGAAUAUGUGUUGUGCUCCUACUUUUUCAUCUUGGUAUGUUUUCAUGUGACUGUGCAGGUCUGGCCUCUUCCCUGCACUGCAGCUGGGAGAGAUAUAGACAGAGCAGCACUUGUACUAGUAUGUUAGCGGGGAGGGAGCACUUCCUCACUGGGUGAUUUGGGAAUAUGUUGGUUCACAAAGCAUGGGAGAGCCAGAAGUAAUCUUUGUGUGCUGUAAGAGAUGACAGAGCUGUGUUCCAGCUGUGGUAUUUGUUCUGUCCAGGCAGCAGCUGAGUGGUGGUGGAUAUUCUGCCCAUCGGUUGCUGCAUGGCCCUGAGCUUCAAGGAGAGCAGGGCCGUGAGCUGUAGCCAUGCGAGCAGCUCUUGAGAUGGUUGUGGCUCAUUGGAAACCUGUAGCAAGAGAACGGCCCAAAGGCAGUACCUUGGCUGAGAGAAAGGACACCUCUACUGGGGCUGCUUAUGGGCCUGAGGAGUUUUCUGCAAAGCAGGAAGAGCUGAAAAGUGCUGAGCAGGGGAAAGAAACACUGUGCAAGCACACAGUAGGAAGAGAAAAAGAUUUAUUCUCCGGUCAUUUAAUUUUAAUCUGUCCAUCCCAGCAGAUCUAUGUUUUCUUGCUUUAAAAGGUUACCUUGAUCUUGCUUUCCACAUGUUUCAUUUUAAUGAAACCUGGCUUUGAAGCCUGGAAACCUUUGUUGCCUUUUGGCUUUGAGGCAGCGAAGCAGUUCCACCUUGACAAACAGUCUAGUUCAUGUCUUGUAACGCAUGGCAGUCAGUGGUGAAGAAUAUAUCCCAAUACGUACAGAAAUUAAGAAAUUUGCUCUUGAAAGAAGAAUGAUAAAGAAGAAAAGCAGCCUCCAGUAAAAGCCCCCAACAACCAAAAUGGCACUGACAUCACUCUAACUGUGUCAGCAUGUACAAGAAAGCGCGCUGGAUAGCGGGGCCUCUGUGUUCGAUGGCUGUAAUGCUAUCUGCUAGACCAAGGAUCAAGACAGCAGUCCAGAAAAGUAAAACAUAGCACAGUGCACCAUUUGUAUUUCAAUAUAAUUUUGGCAUAUACAAUUUCCUUUCUUGGAAGCUAAAUAUAUCUAAAAAUAGGCAUUGCCAAUGAACACAAAAGCUGCUGGAUUACAGGAACAUUCUCCCAUAUUUCUCUUAUUCUAGGUACAGUAAGCAAGCCCAGUUUACAUGUUUGCUUCCCUCGCUGUAGAUCCUUCAUUUCCUUCUUGGGCCCAUGGUUCAUACUGAUAAGUAUGCAUGGUCAUGAAGUGAAACUAAGAGGCACUAUCUUUGCACAGUUGACAUGAUUCUGUUCAAGCUAUGGCUGUGCUCCUUAGGGCAUUGUCAGCAUCACAGGAUUUGUGUUUGUGCUAGGAUUGCUUGGUUGUUUUGUUUUCAUGUUCUCAUUCAAUUUCAGGAGAGAUUCAAAUGUUCUUCAAGGUAGUUAUCUCCAUAGCUGUGUAGUUUUAAAUCGGAGCUGAUAAGCACAGUAUGCACUGGGUAAAUGCUGGCACCAAGGUUCACUAAGUACUUCAGUUUUACCUCUUUUGUUUUGUUUUGUUCUGGUUAAGACCAGAGGGAUUACCUGCUUCAUAUCAGAAUAAUUUUGAUUAUUGUUUUAAUUAUGCUACUCAUGGAUGUAUACUUAACCUCUUAGCAUGGUAUGAAAAGGUAUGCCAACAACUUUUUCUAAAUACUACUUUCUCAUGUUUGAGUGCCUAUUAGAGCCCUUAGCUUUGCUUUGCGUUUGAAUAAAUGUUAUAAAAGCACAAAGAAUAUUGAUGAGAUUGAACAUUUUAGCUUCAGGGUUUGACACUCUCAGUCUGGCUAAAAUCUAAACUCUUUAAUGUUUCUUCAUCUGUACUGACAAAAAAUAAUAAAAAAAAAAAGUAGUGUGAGCAGAAAUUCUAAAUGCUCUCUGAAGUGCAGUGGCACACAGUGAUUUCU